CCCAAUCUCCAUCUCCACCCCACUUCUCUUUUCUCUUCCGCGCGUCGUUCCGUUUCGACCGCCGCUUGUUCAUCGUCACUACUUCCUGUUGAUAUGGGAAUUAGAGACAUGAAUGCUAUUCUAACCAAGGGUUCAAAGGUGCUUCUUAAGGGAAUGAAUUACACUGAGCUUGAAAAAUGGGUUCAAUCUCAUGGAUUCAGACCUGGUCAAGCUAUGAUGCUGUGGUAGCGUAUUUAUGGGGAAAAUAUUUGGGCGCAUUAUGUUGAUGAACUAGAACUAGAAGGGGAAAUGUGAAGGCAGUGCAUAAUGUUUUCACCUUGACCAUAGCAAGUUUAAUUGGCCUCAUUCAAAUCAAGUCUUUGGUUGAUACAGACACACACUUUAUAUUAACAAUCUUUCUUCUUGCUCUAUUCACAUAUGGGUUUGGAAUUAUCUUUCAAGCUUGGAACUCCUUCAAUUCAAUUAUUAGCAAAGUUGGCUUAUUUGCUCUUGGAUUGGCCAUAGUUGCACUUUUAUUUAUCGUUGUCCCAAUUUUUGGUUGGAUUAUUUUAAUUUUAUGGGCCUCUUUGUUCGCUAAAGUAA